rnacentral:tRNA from 1 species
GGUGGCUCAGUGGUAGAGUGCUUGCCUUGCAUGCCUGACGCCCUGGGUUCGAUCCUCAGCACCA